rnacentral:lncRNA from 1 species
GUCUGUACGGCCACUUGAAGCUUUUUAUGAAAGUCAUCGCUGCAAUAAAAUUGUACCCUGAAUCCACGGAUCAAUACUGCUGACAGGACAUAAGGCAGAGAGAAAUUGAUGGCACAAAAAUGAAACUGUCUAAAGGCGUCUUUCUCCUUUUUCUGGGAUUGUUUUUUAAGGUUGCAGUGGCAGGUAUUCAAGCUAAUUCCACACAGGUGUACUGGUUAGAACUUGAAAUCGAGUCAUCGGUGUAUAACUUCGUUGUUGACCUUCUGAAAAAGCUGCCUUGCAUAGACAUAAAUAAUUCAGCUGUGACAAACAUCGACAUCACAACAGAUUGCCCAUGGAAUGGGAUGCAUAAGAUUUGUUCAUGCAAGAAAAAUUACACAGGCAGUGAGGACAUGUGCAAAAAUAAUAAAUGCUGCAAUGAAAACUGCACGCAAAAAGUUAAUGACAUUGCUGUGUGUCUUCCUGAAUCAAGAGGUAGAGUAUUGUUUGAUAUGGGCACAGGAUUUC